rnacentral:rRNA from 1 species
ACGUAGCCGCUGGCGGCGUGCCUAAUACAUGCAAGUCGAGCGGACAGAUGGGAGCUUGCUCCCUGAUGUUAGCGGCGGACGGGUGAGUAACACGUGGGUAACCUGCCUGUAAGACUGGGAUAACUCCGGGAAACCGGGGCUAAUACCGGAUGCUUGUUUGAACCGCAUGGUUCAAACAUAAAAGGUGGCUUCGGCUACCACUUACAGAUGGACCCGCGGCGCAUUAGCUAGUUGGUGAGGUAACGGCUCACCAAGGCAACGAUGCGUAGCCGACCUGAGAGGGUGAUCGGCCACACUGGGACUGAGACACGGCCCAGACUCCUACGGGAGGCAGCAGUAGGGAAUCUUCCGCAAUGGACGAAAGUCUGACGGAGCAACGCCGCGUGAGUGAUGAAGGUUUUCGGAUCGUAAAGCUCUGUUGUUAGGGAAGAACAAGUACCGUUCGAAUAGGGCGGUACCUUGACGGUACCUAACCAGAAAGCCACGGCUAACUACGUGCCAGCAGCCGCGGUAAUAA